GAUGAUAGUUUUGGGAAGGCAGAGACAAGAAUCUGCAACCUUCUUGAUUGUGGUUAGUCUAUCGCUAAAUAGUAUGUUAUAAGCAUUUAUUUAUUUUUUCUUUAUUUUUCAUUCUUUCAGAGACAAGAAUCUGCAACCUUCUUGAUUGUGGUUAGUCUAUCGCUAAAUAGUAUGCUAUAAGCAUUUAUUCAUUUUUUCUUUAUUUUUCAUUCUUUGUACAGUGUUUGUAACAUAUUUUCUUUUCUUUAUUUUUUUAGAUUUAUAUUAUGAGGCUGCAGUAGUUUAUGAUGAAGUAAAUGAUACACAAAUGGGGCUUUGAAUUAUCCUCAUAGGUACAUUUUGCUCAAGUGGGGAAUUAAUGCUUUUAAUCUUUUAAGAUUUGAACCAAUAAAACCUGCCUUGGAUCCUGGUACUGAUAUGCAUAUACACACUCACAUCUUGGAUUCAAUAUUUGCUGUAAAAUACAUGGAUAUUCUUGAUGUUGUUAAUGAUGUGUGUACUAAUCUUGACAGCAUUUUCUAUGAUAGCGUGGAUGAUGAAUCUGCUGAAUCUGUAGAGAUUGGUGAGGUCAUUUUUGAGAAGCUAGUACAGGUGGGUUCUAAACUUAAACUCCCUAUCUAUUUGGCUGAGGUGCAGAGCGGUUUUUCUAUUACUGAGUCUUUGCUUACUGAACCUGUGAAACCUCUACUUGAUAUUUCUGCUGUUAUGCCUAGUCAUUCUGAGAUUUUGGAUGCAAUUUUUGUGGUAGACCAGAUUGAAAUGCACGAUAGUAGUUAUUCUGAUUUUAAUGCACUAAUUUCUGAUAAAAUGCUUGAUGAUAUGAUGGAUGACUCUGAUUUCAGUCUGAAUGAAGCUGCAUUGUUUGAUAGUUCACUGAUGAACAUUGAUUUUGAUUUUUUUGUUUUGGCUGACAUGACUAACAUUGUCACCCACCCAUUCAAAGGAAGCUGUAGAGACAUACAACCUUGGGGAAGGCAAAAGAUGGUGUUAACACUGCCCAAAAAGCAUGGAAGUAGCAAAAUCAACAACUGUGACGGUUGCAGCAAGAUGAUUUGUAAGUGCAAAACCAAUUAAAAGUCUUUGAUGGAGAAUUGUUAUUUCUGCAGCAUAGAGUUAGGAAAAAGACAAUGCACACCUUUACUGGCCAUGGAGCAAAACAAAUACCAAUAAGUCAUUUCUUUAUCCUUCCUUUCUUUUUGUAGUAAUUGGUUUUUGUUAUUAACUUGUAUAAUAUUAAGAAUUGUUAUAAAUAACAGAUUAGAAAAUAUGUGGUUUUACAUAAAAAUAAAGAGAAUCAAUUCUAAUUUGUGGCCGAUUUGAAUAAUUUUUCUUCUUAUUGUGGUUUUGUAGUUUUAAUUUUUUUUUUCCAUUUUUGUGUUCUUGUGUUGGUGUUUACUUUUCAUAAUUUUGUGCAUAUACAUUUUGUGCUCUUUUGAUUUUAGUUUUUUUAGCUCAUUUCUGUUACAUGUAUUCUUGUUCAAUUUUAAUUUUUUUUUCAAUUCUAUUAUUGUAGAUUGUAUAUUCUGUUUUCAUGAUGCAAUUUUAGGAAUUGUUGAUUACUUUUUGUAAUCUUUUAGUUUUGCCUUGUAUAUAUCAAUGUGUAAAGUUGUUUUUGUACAUAACUGAUUUUAACUACUCCUUCUCUCCCCCACACUUAAGAGACACAUUGCCCUCAAUGUGUGAGUGAAUAAGGUUACCUAAACAACACAGAUCAAUCAGUUAUGUACAAAACGACUUUACACAUACAAAAAGUAAUCAACAGUUCCUAUAACAGCAUCAUGAAAACAAUCAACAAUAACAAAAUUGAAAAAAAUUAAAAUUGAACAAGAAAAUAAAUGUAACAUAAAUGAGUCAAGGAAACUAAACUCAAAAGAGCACAUAAUUAUGAAAAGUAAACACAACAUGUAUAGUAACAAAAAUGGAAAAAAAGAAAAUUAAAACUAAAAAGCUACAAUAAGAAGAAAAAUAAAUAAGAAGAAAAAUAAAUAAGAAAAAAAAUAAUUGAUUCUCUUUGUUUUUUAUAUAAAAUCACACAUUUUUUACUAUGUUAUUUAUAACAAUUCCUAAUAUCAUGCAAGUUAACAAUAAAAACCAAUUACUACAAAAGAAAGGACCAUGGCCACCCAAGUGUGCAUUGUCUUCUUCCUAACUCUCUGCUGCAAUAAUAACAACUCUUCAUCAAAGGUCUUCAGCGUUAUGCACUUUUAAAUCAUCUUGUUGCAGCCACCAGAGCUCCUUACUUUGCAACUUCCAAGCUCUUUGGGCAGCGUUAAUACCAUCUUUUGCCUUCCCAAAGUUGUCUUUGCAGCUUUCUUUGAAUGGGUGGCAAUGUUAGCAGCCUUCAAUCUGACCAUGGCUGUGCAUGCUUGUUUAGACCAUCCAAACUGACCUUUCUUCAACAAUUCGGUUAGUGGUUUCGCCAAUUUCCCAUACCCCAACACAAAACCCCAACACAAAACGCCUAUAAUACCCCGUCAAGCCAUGGAAACCCCUCAACACUUUCAAGUUUUCUGGUUCUUUCCACUCCAAAACUGCCCUUAUCUUAUCACCAUCCAUUUCAACUCCUUUUUUUAAAUUUGGUGGCCUAGAUAACGAAUCCAUUUCAACACCAAUUCCAACUACUCCAAAUGGUCCCUCCAAGUAUCAAGAAGACCAACACAAACUUCCAGAGGUACUGUGUAAUAGGUUAUUCAUCGCUUUUUGAAACGUGGCUGGUGCAUUUGUGAGUCCAAAUGACAUCACAAGGAACUCAAAAUGACCUUGAUGCGUUCGAAAAGCAGUCUUGUGAACAUCUUCUUGUCCAUUCUGAUAUGAUGAUAUUCGGCCUUUAAAUCAAUCUUGGAGAAAUACUUAGCUCCCUUUAGUUCAUCCAACAGUUCUUCUAUAACAUGUAUGGGAAAUUUGUUAGGGACGGUGGCCCUCUGUUUAGGGCACGGUAAUCGACACAGACACACAGAAGUGCUAACUGUCAUCCUUCUUCUUCAUUAAGGUCACUGGAUUGGAAACAGAAGUGCCAGCUACCGUCCUUCUUCUUCGUUAAGAUCAUUGACUGGAAAAAGGGCUCAUGGUUGGCCUGAUGAUUCCGCCUUCACCAUGUCCACUUGACUUUCAAUCUUGUCCUUUAUAAGAUGGGACAAAUGUCUCCUCAUACUCAAUUUCGUAUGUGUGGAUAUAUUCUUUUGCCACCAAUCUAAUUUUAUAUGUUUAGUUAUUUAGGAACAAAGCACCCACUAGGACAAAAUUGAAAAAAUAAUCACUUGAUCAUAUUUUUUUUCCUACUUACACAAGAGUUCAUAAAAUUUGAAACAUGAACAUAACCAUGUGCCACACAUAAGACAAAAGUACUAUUAAAAUUUAACUAAUUUAAUAAAAAUGUGUAAUAAUAUUUAUUGUAAGAAAUAUAACGUAAAACUAUAUAUUUAUAAAUUAUUUGAUAUCAUUUUGGUAAUUCAACUGAUCUUUUUAAAUUAAAUUUGAAUAUCAUUUUAAAAAGUUAAUUUUAAAAUUCAAUUCAAUAUUAUAAAACUAUAUAAUAAAAUAAAGUUUUGAUUUAUAUAUAUAUAUAUAUAUAUAUAUAUAUAUAUAUAUAAUAAUGAUAAGAAUAGUAAGAAGGUGAAAUAUAAUAAAAACAACUUUAAACCUAAACAAUGAAAAGAAAAAGAUGGUUAUAUGAGUAUUUAAAAUGCAAUGUAACAUCCUAAUAAAGAUUUCUCACAUUGGAAAACAACUUUAUAAUUUAUAGAUUUUUUUUUUUCUUGGAUCAACGAUUGUGAGUUAUCCCUUAUUUUUAUUUAUUUAUUUAUUAUUUUUUCACUUCUCCUUUUAGGCAAUCUAACAGCAGCCAACAAGCCAUAGAACGGUUUGGAGCAGUAAGAAAAUGACAACAGUCACGUGCAAUCGGCAGAGAUUAUGUCAGUGUCAUGUCAAAGAGAUGUGGUACAAGAUAAGAGUGUUAGGUUAGGGACAAAUUUCGAAAAUAUAACAGAAAAAAAAAUUAUGACCCUCCGUUUAAAAAUAAUAAAUCCUCCAAAGAGAAAUUUCUACAAACUUAAAAUUUUACAUUGGUCCUCAAUCAUUUAGAACAGUUACUAGGAAUAUAUAUAUAAUUGUAAAAUGAUGUACUUGUCCCCUAACUUAGGACCAUUCCAUAAGCUUUCGUGUUGGCCCAACCUAAACAAUAUCAACAUAUUCACAUACAUUACAAUCUUUUACCUUUUUCUUAUCCACGAACUAACCUUGUUUUGAUGUUUGUUACCAUUUUUAAGUUUUAUGUUCCUGAAUACUGUAAUUGGUUGUACCAUGAACAUGUCGGUGGUGGAAAGCCAGUAGCUUCAAAAAGUGGAUAACUCCUUUGAGAAUACAUGUCUCACAAGUCUUAAAGAUAAGAUAUUAUUGACUUUUGGGCCUUUACUCUUUCUAUCCAUAAUGUUGUUUUGCUAACUAUUCUACCCUUGAUUACCCUUCUUAAUUAUUGUUAUAUCGAUAAUCUUUGUAUUAUGUUUAUUUAAUUAUCAUUUUUGAAGUUAUGUUCACUUUGUAUUUUGAAGUGAGAAAAAAUGAUUAUUUGCGAGUUUCAUCGUUUUUUCAAUCUUUGUUAACCUGUUGAGAUUUGAGAGUAUUUAUUUUUCCCUGAAACAAAUUUUAUUUGACAUGCAAUUCUCAAGAACAUCAAAACAGAAGGAACCAUGACGUCUUGUAAUCAAUUAUAGCAAAGGAACGAAUUGAUUCCCAUUACCUAGA
rnacentral:lncRNA from 1 species